AGGCGAAGAUGAAGUGUUCCAGUUGUAAAAAGUUUGUCAAAAAGACUGCCAGGUUCUGCAGUUGGUGUGGACAUUGCCUUACUACCCAGCCUGUGAACAUGACGAAUGAGCGAGAUCCCCUUUCAAAUACCUCGGACCCAGUGCCUUCCCUGCCCGUGGAAGAAUCAAAUGACUCCCCCAAACCGCUUGUUGAAGGGGACUCUGAUGACACGAAGAAACAACAACACACUGGUUCAAGCGUUGACACAGAGGCUAAGGUUGAAGGUUCAGGGACUAAGCUGUCAGCUGCUGAGGGAGGAGACGUACCAGAAUGCCCUGAAAACAUCGAAAAGACCGGAGACAAUCAAGAAUCUGAGGACCGCGUUGAACCUUCACCAAAAAUGUGAACCAGAGUCAUCAGUAGAAGAGAGUCUAAAUUGCAAAACAUAAAUGGAAAAUGUAUCUCCUUGACCAUUUUAUUAACAUUUUGUCUUUUUUACAUUUUAGGAUAAACAAUGCAAACCCAACAGUUGCUGCAAGGGACAGGCUCACAAUCUUCUUUCAUGCGGUUUUGCCAAAGGAAUUUGAACUUGAGAAGGCCGACCGAAUAUUUAUCAGAGCUGGCAAACAUCUUGGGACAUGGAACGAGGACUUGGUUGAGGUUUUUACGACCAAGUAAGUACUUAUGCUGUACUUUAUUGCUCCUAAAUCUAUGAUAUGAAACUUUAUUUAUUGAUAUUCGUCAUUGACUCAGAGUCUGUACCAAGCCUUAACGGAUUCUUUUGUGUGCUAUGUUUUUUUUUUAUUACAGUGAUCAUGGGAAGUUUGGACAUUUAGUUGGGGGAAAAUUUGUGACCACAAAAAAAAACACCCUGGAUAACAGCAUACCAUACAAAUAUGUUGUCUACAAGGCCAAAAAGAAAAAAUAUAUAUAUGAAUACAUUUACAAAUUAGAUUCAGAGCAUAUAACAAAUCGAUGUUUGUUUGUGAAGUCCAAACUCCUCAAUGAGGAAGGUAAGAGGUGCAACAAUUCUUUGUUCAUUCGUUACAUUUUCAUACGUGCAUAAGUACAUGUCCAAUUAAACAUGUGAUAUAUUUUUAUGUGAAAGGGGACUGGCAUCAGUAUGAUGACAUCGUCUAUCUAUCCAAGGAUGGAUACAAACACAUAAAUCAGAAGAAUGUCGUCCGAGGCAGAGAGAUUGCAGGAACCAUCAUGCUAGACACAAUAUUUGAUCUCCUUCGGAAUUGGACUGACAUCAACUUGAAGAAUUUCUUCAUCCAAUUGAAACAGUUCUUUGACAUUUAUGGAAACCCAUUUGUGUAUGAGGAGGACACAUCGAAAAAGUGGAACUCUCUCAAAUUUGGAGAGAAGGAAGUAAGGACUUUUCUUCAUAUAUAUAUAUACAUAUAAAAAAAAUGCUAACAUUGUUUGCAGUAAGGAAUAUU
rnacentral:lncRNA from 1 species